rnacentral:rRNA from 1 species
UACGUAGGUGGCAAGCGUUGUUCGGAAUUACUGGGCGUAAAGGGCUCGUAGGUGGCCAACUAAGUCAGACGUGAAAUCCCUCGGCUUAACCGGGGAACUGCGUCUGAUACUGGAUGGCUUGAGAUUGGGAGAGGGAUGCGGAAUUCCAGGUGUAGCGGUGAAAUGCGUAGAUAUCUGGAGGAACACCGGUGGCGAAGGCGGCAUCCUGGACCAACACUGACGCUGAGGAGCGAAAGCCAGGGGAGCAAACGGG